UACGUAGGGUGCGAGCGUUGUCCGGAAUUAUUGGGCGUAAAGAGCUCGUAGGCGGUCUGUCGCGUCUGCUGUGAAAUCCCGAGGCUCAACCUCGGGCCUGCAGUGGGUACGGGCAGACUAGAGUGCGGUAGGGGAGAUUGGAAUUCCUGGUGUAGCGGUGGAAUGCGCAGAUAUCAGGAGGAACACCGGUGGCGAAGGCGGUUCUCUGGGCAUUACCUGACGCUGAGGAGCGAAAGUGUGGGGAGCGAACAGG
rnacentral:rRNA from 1 species